UCGAUAUCGCUGGGGGCAUGCGAGCAGUGCGUAAUGCGUUCAAUGCCUGCCCAAAGGCUAGGGACAUUCCUGUCUGUGAAGCAGCAGCGCCCCCAUUGCACAUUCGGAAGACGCUGGAAUAGCCAGCCUAUCCUUGGGAGCACGCCAGCUGGAAAUCUGCACCUUUCUGCCGCUGUGUACCUGAGUGGUGCAUCUUUCCUAAAAAUCGAAAAGGUAAAUGAUGUGCCAUGCCAAAAGUUUCAUUGAACCAGCAGUUAUUCACCAGUGGAAAGUCCUAAAUGAUUUGAAUCUGCAGCGGCUAAGUCAAGAGGAAAUGGUGAUACUUGGUGGUGACAUGAGAGCUGACUCUCCAGGUCACUCUGCAAAGUAUGGGAGUUACACAAUGAUGGAUCUCCAUACUAACACCAUUGUGGACAUUCAGUUGGUCCAGAGCAACGAAGUUGGUGGUAGCACCCAUAU